UGCAUUGUGUUGGAUUGUUCUUAAAUGAUC
rnacentral:piRNA from 1 species